GGAUGCGAUCAUACCAGCAUUAAAGAAUCAGAUCCCAUGGGAAAUCCGAAGUUAAGCAUGCCUGGGUGAGAGUAGUACUAUGAUGGGUGACCUCUUGGGAAGUCCUCNNNNUGCAUUCC
rfam:Hordeum vulgare subsp. vulgare, WGS project CAJW01000000 data, contig: morex_contig_106750